UACGUAGGGGGCAAGCGUUGUCCGGAAUCAUUGGGCGUAAAGCGCGUGUAGGCGGUCCGGUAAGUCCGCUGUGAAAGUCGGGGGCUCAACCCUCGAAAGCCGGUGGAUACUGUCGGGCUCGAGUACGGAAGAGGCGAGUGGAAUUCCUGGUGUAGCGGUGAAAUGCGCAGAUAUCAGGAGGAACACCAAUUGCGAAGGCAGCUCGCUGGGACGUUACUGACGCUGAGACGCGAAAGCGUGGGGAGCAAACAGG
rnacentral:rRNA from 1 species